rnacentral:rRNA from 1 species
UACGUAGGCAGCGAGCGUUGUUCGGAGUUACUGGGCGUAAAGGGUGUGUAGGCGGUUGUUUAAGUUUGGUGUGAAAUCUCCGAGCUCAACUCGGAAAUGGCAUUGAAUACUAUUCCGCUAGAGGUUUGGAGGGGGGACUGGAAUUCUCGGUGUAGCAGUGAAAUGCGCAGAUAUCGGGAAGAACACCCGUGGCGAAGGCGGCUCUCUGGAACGCAACUGACGCUGAGGCUCGAAAGCGUGGGGAGCAAACAGG